ACACAUCGCUGGUCACAAUGAGCUUCGCAUUGUUUUAGCCUUCAAAUGACGCCACCCCGCUGGCUAAGCGACUAGGCCAACAGAAGAAAGAGUGAGAGAAAUUUGCGGCGAAAGAGUACAGCACGGAUCGCCACCACUCUCUGCCGAGGGAGCCUUGCGGGACUUAAGA